GGAGCUGCCUGUGGAUUGGCCGGCAGGCUCUGAUGGACAGCAGGCCUGACCCGCCCCUCCUCUCUGGCCCGCAGGCCACGCAAGGCUGGCCCGCAGGCCGCAGCUGUUUGUCUGUUCGACCUCUGCGGCCAGUGUGGCCGUCGAAGGUCUCGUCAUUUGGAGAAGUCUCCCAGGCCUGAUCAUCUUCAGGCCAUUCAGAUCCGCGGGCCCCCGUGGCCUUCGUCUCUGUCCCUCGCAUAAGCCUCUGCCGGCCCCACCUCACGUUCCGUGUCCACGAGGCGGGUCAUGGACUCAGGUUCUACCUUACGGCGCCCCUCCUGUAAAGACUCUCCUGAGCUUUGGUUUUCCCGGCCUGACUCCCCUUGUUUUCCUCCUUCUCUGCAUGCUGCCUUUCGGCCUCAAAAGCUUCUCUUCCUCUGGGCUGGGUCCUGAGCCAGUUCCCUAGGCGAACUAACCUUUUCUAUGGCUUCACCCCACACCCAAGCCCCUGAAGAGUCAAAUCUACCUCCCCUGCAUCCCACUCUCUGCUCCACGUCCCGGCUUAACACAGGCAUCUCACUCCCUUCUCAAACUGCUCCUCCCACAGUCUUCUCUUUCUCAGACCAUGACAAUAAACGCUAAGGUGCUUGGGCCAAAAACUCUUAAAGAUAUCCUGAUUGCUUUCUCUGCCUCAACCCAUAGCAAUCCAUCAAGUUCUGUUCGCCCUGUCCUCAGAUACCUCUACUCCACCCACAAAUCCAAGGCUCAUCUUUUCUCACCCAGAUUAUUUACUCUCCUUGGUCUUGCCUGCAUCUAUUCUCCAUGCUUUUAUCUUUAAAAUGAAAUUACAUCAUGGUCCCCUACCUUCAGCCUCAAACCAUUUAUGAUUUCUCAUUGCAAAUAAACACACUCCCUACCUGGCCCAGCAGGUCCAGUAUGAUCUGGCCCCUUUCUCACCACCCCGCUUUACUCUCCAUUCUCCAGACACAAGUUUUGUGGUUACAGGCAGAACUCAUUUAAGUGCACUUGCUUUUAUUGUGCUUCACAGGUGUCGUUUAGAAGAGGAAGGCAAGACCCUCCACCAGCAAAAAGACAACUCACUUUAUCGUGAUACUCGUUUUAUUCAGCCUGCAACCAAACCUGCAAUAUCUCCGAGAUAUGCCUUUAUUUGAAUAAUUCGCAGUUUGUCUCCCUGAAGCCAUUCUCUAGACUCGCCCCUGCAAGCUGCCCCAUCACGCAGAACGGCCAUAACUGAAGACACCUGCGGUCACAGUGGAGCCGGUCAGAUAUUGAGCCAAGCGGGAGCAGAACAACUUACUGCAUUCAGAGGUGAAAAAAGGGGGCAUGGAGAGAUUAAGAGACACGAUCAUGGACACACAGCUAAGAGGAGGCAGAGACGGGGUUCAAACCCAGGCAGUCUGGCUCCAGAGUCAAUGCUACGUUGCCUCCCAUGUAGCUGGACUCAAACAUCACAGAAAAGGCCCGACAGGAGAGAGUUGUUCAGAUCCUACACAGCUGGCUUCUGCUCUUGGACAUGGCUGGAAGUGGGAGGAGGGAACCAGUCUACU